UACGGGGGGGGCAAGCGUUGUUCGGAAUUACUGGGCGUAAAGGGCUCGUAGGUGGCCAACUAAGUCAGACGUGAAAUCCCUCGGCUUAACCGGGGAACUGCGUCUGAUACUGGCAGGCUUGAAUUCGGGAGAGGGAUGCGGAAUUCCAGGUGUAGCGGUGAAAUGCGCAGAUAUCUGGAGGAACACCGGUGGCGAAGGCGGCAUCCUGGACCGAUAUUGACGCUGAGGCGCGAAAGCCAGGGGAGCAAACGGG
rnacentral:rRNA from 1 species